AUGCCAACCCAUAUUCAUGCUUUGAGGAGUUUGGAUGAAGAGAAAAGUUGGGAACUUUUUAGUAACAGAGCUUUACCAUCAUACAAAAGAUCAGGCAUACGUGAUCUGGAUAAAUAUGAAGAAUUAGGAAGAAAGCUUACAAGGAAAUGUGAUGGAUUACCACUUUCACUUGCAGUCUUAGGGGGUUACCUAUCAAAGAAUCUCAACACACAAUCCUGGUCCGAUGUGCUACUGUGUUGGCCAUCAACCAAGGACACACAGAUGAUGCGAGGCAUAAUAGCUCGCAGUUACAAGGACCUACCAAAUCACUAUUUAAGAUCUUGUGUGCUCUAUCUUGCUGCUUUUCCCGAGGAUUACAUAAUAUCUGUGUCAGCUCUGAUUAAUCUAUGGAUAGCAGAAGGCUUCAUUCCACAUACACCUAAGCAUACCUUAGAAAAAACAGCUCGUAUGUAUGUAACUCUGUUGGCUCAAAGAAGCUUGGUGCAAGUUGUCAGAACAAGCAGUAUAUAUGGAUGGAUUGAGGAAAUAAGGAUUCAUAAUAUCCUACGUGACUGGUGCAUAGAAAAAGCAACACAAGAUGGUUUCCUUGAUGUCAUCUAUAAAACUACUAGUGGACAAGCUGGUGCAUCAUCAUCUCAUAACCAGAUAUUCUAUUGUUCAUCAUUCCAAAACUUGAGUGGGCAGAUCUUGCAGGCAUCACCUAAUCUU
rnacentral:rRNA from 1 species